CUCAACCGGGGAAUCGCAGGGCGAACUGCGCGUCUUGAGGCAGGCAGAGGCCGUCGGAACGCUCGGUGGAGCGGUGAAAUGCAUAGAUAUCGAGCGGAACGCCGAUGGAGAAGUCAGGCGGCUGGGCCUGUCCUGACGCUGAGGCACGAAAGCGUGGGGAGCGAACGGGAUUAGAUACCCCGGUAGUCCACGCCCUGAACAUUGCGCACUAGGUCGGGGGCGUUUUGACGCGCUCUCGGCCGAAGAGAAAUCGUUAAGUGCGCCGCCUGGGGAGUACGGUCGCAAGGCUAAAACUCAAAGGAAUUGACGGGGGCUCACACAGGCGGUGGAGCAUGUUGCUUAAUUCGAAGCAACGCGAAGAACCUUAUCCUGGGCUUGACAUGCGCGGAUUAGUUCGUGGAAACACGGAUGACGCCUUCGGGUGGAACG
rnacentral:rRNA from 1 species